rnacentral:rRNA from 1 species
UGGGGAAUUUUGCGCAAUGGGCGAAAGCCUGACGCAGCAACGCCGCGUGGGUGAUGAAGGUCUUCGGAUCGUAAAACCCUGUCGUCAGGGACGAAGGUUGUAUGCCUAACAGGUGUGCAGCUUGACGGUACCUGGAGAGGAAGCCCCGGCUAACUCUGUGCCAGCAGCCGCGGUAAUACAGAGGGGGCAAGCGUUAUUCGGAAUUAUUGGGCGUAAAGGGCGCGUAGGCGGUGUCUUAAGUGAGAUGUGUAAUCCCCGAGCUUAACUUGGGAACUGCAUCUCAGACUGGGGCGCUAGAGUGCUGGAGAGGGUGGCAGAAUUCCAGUGUAGCGGUGAAAUGCGUAGAGAUGUGGAGAUACCGAGUGGCGAAGGCGGCACCUGGACAGUAACUGACGCUGA